rnacentral:rRNA from 1 species
UAGCCAGCACCCCGAGUGGUCGGGACGUUUAUUGGGCCUAAAGCAUCCGUAGCCGGUUCUACAAGUCUUCCGUUAAAUCCACCUGCUUAACAGAUGGGCUGCGGAAGAUACUAUAGAGCUAGGAGGCGGGAGAGGCAAGCGGUACUCGAUGGGUAGGGGUAAAAUCCGUUGAUCCAUUGAAGACCACCAGUGGCGAAGGCGGCUUGCCAGAACGCGCUCGACGGUGAGGGAUGAAAGCUGGGGGAGCAAACCGG